rnacentral:rRNA from 1 species
AUUGAACGCUGGCGGCAUGCUUUACACAUGCAAGUCGAACGGUAACAGGUCUUCGGGUGCUGACGAGUGGCGAACGGGUGAGUAAUGCAUCGGAACGUGCCCAGUCGUGGGGGAUAACGCAGCGAAAGCUGCGCUAAUACCGCAUACGAUCUAUGGAUGAAAGCGGGGGACCGUAGGGCCUCGCGCGAUUGGAGCGGCCGAUGUCAGAUUAGGUAGUUGGUGGGGUAAAGGCCCACCAAGCCAACGAUCUGUAGCUGGUCUGAGAGGACGACCAGCCACACUGGGACUGAGACACGGCCCAGACUCCUACGGGAGGCAGCAGUGGGGAAUUUUGGACAAUGGGCGCAAGCCUGAUCCAGCAAUGCCGCGUGCAGGAAGAAGGCCUUCGGGUUGUAAACUGCUUUUGUACGGAACGAAACGGCCCUCUCUAAUACAGAGGGCUAAUGACGGUACCGUAAGAAUAAGCACCGGCUAACUACGUGCCAGCAGCCGCAGUAACAC